CGGGGUUUUGAGGGCAAGAUGA
rnacentral:miRNA from 15 species